GUCAGAGACAUUGCGGAGGUAAAAGUUGAGUGUGAGGCCCGUUCUCCCCUGCGCCUGACAGAAAAGGCCCCAUCUGUUGGGUAGAAAUUAGAUUUAAUCACACUUGAGCUUUUGGAAAGCGAUUACAUACAUGGCAAAUAUGAGGCUGAACUUACUGUCUGAUUCUUUUACUGUUGUCCAGGAACUGCCAGGACUCAGUGGCUGUGUGGCCUUCUGCCAUGUACCAGAGGAAUCCUUUGAUGCGGCUGAUCGCUGAUCCAGCAUUCUCUUUUUUUUUUCUUUGAAGGCUGCUCUCCUUCUAGUUUAUUUUUGUAAACCUUCAGGUAUUGCUCUGUGAAAACAAGAUAUUGUUUUUCAUUACAUAAACGAAGACAAAAACAAAACCCAGUUAUGUACAUACACACAAACUACCAAUUGAUGGUUGGAAAAGGAGCUUUCCCGAGCCUGAUGCACGUCCUCUGCUGCUAAACAGUUUUCUCACCAAUACUGAAGGUUCCUUCACUUGGUACCUCAGAGUCUCUGCUGGCCGCUGUUUUGCUCUUAACUGCAAAGACAGAGAUGAAUAUGGUCAUUUUUUACAGACCACAGUGCCAUAGAGCUAUGUUAAAAAAAAACAAAUAAAACCAACAAGCAUUAUUCCAGGAAAACGUCAAUGCCAAUGUAUUUAGCAACUUAAAACUGACAGUGGAGAUUAGCACACAAAUUUUGUGCAUCGAUACUUACAGUAGCAUUCUCUAUUAGACGAGAUGAUGUGCUACCCCCUCCAUCUUGCUCCUGAUGUCUUUCUGGUCCUUCCCUGCCACCCCCCUCAGACAAAUCUCCUGCUUCUCCUGCUGCUGCUCCAGCUCCUGUAUCCUCCUCAUCCGUGACUGGUACCACCGGGCCCUGAGCUGCUAAGCGCUUGCUCUUCCUAAAGUGCUAUUGUGACAGAGUUAAACAUUGUCAGCUGUGUUUACCUCACAGUGAAACUUUCUGUCACUUACAUCAAUACCUCCAUAUUGUGUCCAAACCAUGUAUUUCUUACUCACCACUGCUCCACCCUGCUCUCUUUCUGGUCCUUCCCCGCCACCUCCCUCAGACUCAGGUGACGGUGACACAGACCAAUUGGCCCACUGAGGCUGUGAAGGGCUGGAUGGUGAGACACCACCCUCCAAAUCUCCUGCCUCUCCUGCUGCUGCUGCUGCUGCUGCUGCUGCUCCAGCUCCUGUAGCCUCCUCAUCCCUGACUGGUACCAGCGGGCCCUGAGCUGCUAAGCGCUUGCUCUUCCUAAAGUGCUAUUGUGACAGAGUUAAACAUUGUCAACGUUUACCCAACAGUGAAACCUCCAUAUUGUGGUAAGAACAAAUAUCAGCAGUAAACAAACCCUGUCCUGCAGUUAGUACUGAUGGGCUUACCUUUAGGUUUUUCUCAUGGACUUGGGCCCUCAAUCUGACAAGCUCCCCCUGUAACUUGUGAACGUUGUGCUGCAGCUUUAAGCAUCUGCUUUUCCAACAUUGCAGGGAACG
rnacentral:lncRNA from 1 species